GAUGAACGCUGGCGGCGUGCCUAAUACAUGCAAGUCGAGCGAACAGAUAAGGAGCUUGCUCCUUUGACGUUAGCGGCGGACGGGUGAGUAACACGUGGAUAACCUACCUAUAAGACUGGGAUAACUUCGGGAAACCGGAGCUAAUACCGGAUAACAUAUUGAACCGCAUGGUUCAAUAGUGAAAGGCGGCUUUGUUGUCACUUAUAGAUGGAUCCGCGCCGUAUUAGCUAGUUGGUAAGGUAACGGCUUACCAAGGCAACGAUACGUAGCCGACCUGAGAGGGUGAUCGGCCACACUGGAACUGAGACACGGUCCAGACUCCUACGGGAGGCAGCAGUAGGGAAUCUUCCGCAAUGGGCGAAAGCCUGACGGAGCAACGCCGCGUGAGUGAUGAAGGUCUUCGGAUCGUAAAACUCUGUUAUCAGGGAAGAACAAAUGUGUAAGUAACUGUGCACAUCUUGACGGUACCUGAUCAGAAAGCCACGGCUAACUACGUG
rnacentral:rRNA from 1 species